rnacentral:rRNA from 1 species
CCUACGGGGGGCAGCAGUGAGGAAUAUUGGUCAAUGGGCGCGAGCCUGAACCAGCCAAGUCGCGUGAGGGAUGAAGGUUCUAUGGAUCGUAAACCUCUUUUAUAAGGGAAUAAAGUGUGGGACGUGUCCUAUUUUGCAUGUACCUUAUGAAUAAGGAUCGGCUAACUCCGUGCCAGCAGCCGCGGUAAUACGGAGGAUCCGAGCGUUAUCCGGAUUUAUUGGGUUUAAAGGGUGCGUAGGCGGUCCGGAAAGUCAGUGGUAAAAGCUGGGGGCUCAACCCCGGAGAGCCGUUGAUACUGUCAGACUAGAGACGACGAGAGGUACGCGGAAUGCGUGGUGUAGCGGUGAAAUGCAUAGAUAUCGCGCAGAACUCCGAUUGCGAAGGCAGCGUGCCGGCG